UACGUAGGUGGCGAGCGUUGUCCGGAUUUACUGGGCGUAAAGAGCGCGCAGGCGGUCGUGCAAGUCGCGUGUGAAAGCCCCCGGCUCAACUGGGGAGGGUCACGCGAUACUGCUCGACUCGAAGGCAGGAGAGGGAAGUGGAAUUCCCGGUGUAGUGGUGAAAUGACGUAGAUAUCGGGAGGAACACCAGUGGCGAAGGCGACUUCCUGGCCUGUUCUUGACGCUGAGGCGCGAAAGCUAGGGUAGCAAACGGGG
rnacentral:rRNA from 1 species